rnacentral:tRNA from 1 species
UAAUACUCUCCUUGAUGA